rnacentral:rRNA from 1 species
UACGUAGGUGGCAAGCGUUAUCCGGAAUUAUUGGGCGUAAAGCGCGCGCAGGCGGUUUCUUAAGUCUGAUGUGAAAGCCCACGGCUCAACCGUGGAGGGUCAUUGGAAACUGGGGAACUUGAGUGCAGAAGAGAAAAGCGGAAUUCCACGUGUAGCGGUGAAAUGUGUAGAGAUGUGGAGGAACACCAGUGGCGAAGGCGGCUUUUUGGUCUGUAACUGACGCUGAGGCGCGAAAGCGUGGGGAGCAAACAGG